UGCUCUCUCUUCAUGGAAUCCAAACUAUCAUUGAUUCAUUUCCCGUUCUUAAACCCUAACCCCAAAAUCCCCAAAUUAAAAAGUUUCCCGCUAAUUUCCACCUAAUUCUGUCACUCAUUUUCGUUUCCGGAUUUUUAAUUUAUCUGAGUCUUAGGGCUAGGGCAGUGGGUUAUUCUCGUCGUCGACAAAGAUGAUGCCCGCCGGCGAUCCAUCGCAGCACCACCACCAUCACCAACAGCAACAACAACAACAGCAGCAGCAACAGCAACACCACUACCACCAACAACAGCAGCACCACCCGCAGCCGCCGCCGCCUAAUCACCAACACCAACACCAGCACCAGCAGCCAUAUCCGUUCGGAGACUUCCCAAGGGGUCCACAACCUCCGCCCGGUCCGCCUCAAAUGAUGCGUCAGCCCUCGGCUUCCUCCACUACUCUCAACGCAAAUGGCCCUCCCCCUCCCGAAUAUCACCACCCCUCCAUGCCCCCUGGACCUCCUCCUCCUCAUCACGCUUACGAUGGUGCAGCUCAUGCUGACAGUUAUGCCGCAAAGAGAAUAAGGAAAAUGGGACAAAGAAGAGCUGUUGACUAUACUAGUACAGUUGUACGAUAUAUGCAGAUUCGCAUGUGGCAACGGGAUUCAAGGGACAGAACUGUAUUGCAACCUACCCCAGCAGCAGCAGUUGACAUGCUACCAACAGGUGCCUAUGUAGAUAACCCGUCCACCAGUUUUGCUGCAAAGUUUGUUCAUACAUCACUCAACAAAAACCGUUGUUCAAUUAAUCGUGUUGUGUGGACACCUACUGGGAGGCGUCUUAUUACUGGAUCUCAAAGUGGUGAAUUUACUCUCUGGAAUGGACAGUCUUUUAACUUUGAAAUGAUACUUCAGGCUCAUGAUCAGGCAGUCAGAUCAAUGGUAUGGAGCUACAAUGACAACUGGAUGGUAACUGGUGAUGAUGGGGGUGCUAUAAAAUAUUGGCAGACAAACAUGAAUAAUGUAAAGGCUAAUAAAACUGCACAUAAAGAAUCAGUACGUGACUUAAGCUUCUGCCGGACAGAUUUGAAAUUCUGUUCUUGUUCUGAUGAUACUACUGUUAAGGUUUGGGACUUUGCUCGGUGCCAAGAAGAGCGCUCAUUAUCCGGCCAUGGUUGGGAUGUGAAGAGUGUUGAUUGGCAUCCUACAAAGUCUUUACUGGUGUCAGGUGGAAAAGACAAUCUUGUUAAACUUUGGGAUGCCAAGUCAGGGAGAGAGUUGUGCUCAUUUCAUGGCCACAAGAAUACUGUUCUUUGUGUCAAGUGGAAUCAAAAUGGUAACUGGGUCCUUACUGCUUCGAAGGAUCAAAUUAUAAAGCUUUAUGAUAUAAGGGCCAUGAAGGAGCUUGAGUCAUUUCGUGGGCAUCGAAAAGAUGUCACAGCUUUGGCUUGGCAUCCAUUUCAUGAAGAGUAUUUUGUUAGUGGGAGUUAUGACGGUUCAAUAUUUCAUUGGCUUGUGGGGCAUGAAACUCCUCAAGUUGAAAUUACAAAUGCACAUGAUAGUGGUGUUUGUGAUCUUGCAUGGCACCCAAUAGGGUAUAUUCUUUGCAGUGGCAGCAAUGAUCAUGCAACAAAGUUCUGGUGCAGAAAUAGGCCUGGGGAUUUAGCUCGUGAUAAAUUUAGCUUGAAUCAGCAAGGUACCAAUGAUCAAAACUCUGCUCUAGGUUACAGGCCAGGUAAUGUUGGAGGACCCGAUGCUCCAUCAACGCCUGGAGCGUUUGGUUCUGGUUUGAUACGAAAUGAGGGCACAAUUCCUGGCGUUGGAGCUGCAAUGCCACUGUCUCUUCCAUCCCUUGAUUCAUCCUCACAAGGAGAUCAAAAGAAUCCUUUAUCUCUAUCGAUGCCUAUGGGUGCUCCCCCACUUCCUCCCGGUCCCCAUCCAUCCCUUCGUGCUGCAAAUCAGCAGCAAGGUUAUCAACAAAAUAUGCAGCAAGUCCCACAGCAGCAAAUGAACUCUAUGCCGUUGCUCCCACUACAACCCCCAUCUCAUAUGCCUAUGAUGCAGCAUCCUCAUUUACCUCGCCCACCUCCCCAGUUACAGCCUAUGAAUAUGCAAGGUGUCCAAUCUUCAAUGCCUGGAUCUAUGCCCGUUCCAUCAAUGCAAAUGCCCGGUCCAAUGGGGAUGCAAGGUAAUAUGAACCAGAUGGGUCCUCCAAUGCCUCAAGGUCACUUUAUGGGUAUGAACGCUCAACCCGGAGGAAUGCAGGCAAUGCAAGGCCCUCCAAACACAGGUGGAAACCAAAUGUUUCAGCCCAGUGGAGGCUUCAACAGACCGCAAGGUGGGCAGAUGCCACUCAUGCCCGGGAUGAAUCACUUUCAGCAAUCUAUGCCCUCGAAUUUUGGAGUGCAAUCGGGCAUGCCACCACCACUCCCUCCAGGGCCGCCGCCACAUGGCCAAGGACAAGGAGGACAUCAAUAGACCAGUUUUCAUAAACACUAGUAGUAGCUUUAAGCUGUUUCCAUUGAGAUUUUUUUUGCAGUUGUAAUUUUUGGAUAUCUUCUUUGAACUCCCAAAAAUUUGUAUUGUAGCUUUAUCUCUGUAGCAACUACAUUGAGGAGCCCAACUAUCUUGUUUUCUUAUUGUAUUUUUUUCUUGGUACGAUGAUUACAUUUGAUUA